UUGGAGGGCAAGUCUGGUGCCAGCAGCCGCGGUAAUUCCAGCUCCAAUAGCGUAUAUUAAAGUUGUUGCAGUUAAAAAGCUCGUAGUUGAAUUUCGGGAUUGACACAUCGGUCGUGCCUUAAGGGGUAUGAACUGGUGUAGUCAGUUUCUCACCUUCUGGAGAACCGCGAUGUCCUUAAUUGGGUGCCGCGAGGAACCAGGACCUUUACUUUGAAAAAAUUAGAGUGUUUAAAGCAGGCAUUUUGCUUGAAUACAUUAGCAUGGAAUAAUAAAAUAGGACGGAUGGUUCUAUUUUGUUGGUUUCCAGGAUCACCGUAAUGAUUAAUAGGGAUAGUUGGGGGCAUUAGUAUUCAAUUGUCAGAGGUGAAAUUCUUGGAUUUAUUGAAGACUAACUACUGCGAAAGCAUUUGCCAAGGAUGUUUUCAUUAAUCAAGAACGAAAGUUAGGGGAUCGAAGACGAUCAGAUACCGUCGUAGUCUUAACCAUAAACUAUGCCGACUAGGAAUCAGACGAUGUUAAUUUUUUAAUGACUCGUUUGGCACCUUGCGGGAAACCAAAGUGUUUGGGUUC
rnacentral:rRNA from 1 species